rnacentral:lncRNA from 1 species
CCCACCUCUAACCUCUUCCUCUUCUCUACACGAGCCCACAUCAGUUCCCACCUCUUCCUCUUCUAUACAUUACACAAACCCACAUAAACCCUACACCUCCCAUCCUUUCAGCAAGUCUGAUCUUUUGUUCACCGGUAGGAGCACGCCGCUCGUUUGCUCGCCGCUCGUUUGCUCGCCGCUCGUUUGCUCGCCGCUCGUUUGCUCGCCGCUCGUUUGCUCGCCGCCAGUUCCCAUCGGCGGUCUCGUAUCCAAGAAUCUGCAGGGGCUCGUUCCUAAUAUUGCAUUUGAAGCACAAGAAUGACCAGCACCCGGGCUGUUUCCAGGUAUUCUGGGUUUGAACGCAUCAGCAACUGCUUCUGAAUUAGAAUACGACCCUUGUUUGGUGAACGAAUGGCCUGCUCCGGGACUGCUACCUAGGGUGAACGAAUGGCCUGCUUUGGUGCAGCUGUUAAAGGGUUUUGCAAUGCAUUGGAGUCAGUUGUAGUUAAAGGCUCAAAGCCCACACAAGGUGCAAAGGGUGAGCAUGUCGCAUGGGUCUAAGAUCUUAAAAAGCGCAGGCUCGAGACAAGCAAGGCGCACGUCCGGUCCAGGCCAUUGUUAGGUGUUUCAGACUUGUUUUCGGCUGUUUUACACUGGUUUAGAUUGUUUAGACUGAUUCAAAGCGUUUGAAACUACUUUUGGCGGUUAAGACAAGUUUUUUACCGGUUCAAGCCUGUUUGUUCCUGGUUUAAAGGAAUCUACUAGCAUCUCUUCUUGAAGAAGAAAGAAACCUACUUGUAACUCGUCUUGACGAAGAAAGGAAAGCAAGGGAAGAACUUCAAAAACAACUUCAAGAAUUUAUGAAGAAUUGGCGUCCUCCCUCUAAUUAGAUGUAGUUUUUGAUAUCUUUUUUGAAUUAUGUUAAAUUGUAUUAGCUUACAGUUUAAACAUAUUGGAACUUGCGUUGUGACGCAUGAUUUUUAAAUUUAUGUCAUUGUAACUUCAGUGAGUUUUGUAAAACAGGUUUUUGGUAUUACAAAUUAUUUCUGGGAUUUUUCGCCAGAAAAAUGCAG